rnacentral:antisense_RNA from 1 species
GCAGGUGCUAGGCGGGGCCAGCAGUGGGCGUGGUCUUUCCGGGCCCGGGAUUGGUGAAGGCUCCGGGGCUGACGAGGCGAGGCCGGAGCCCUCCCCAGUUUCCUGCUAUCCCGAGCCGGGCGGCUCGCCCAGGAUACGGAGCCCGGCGGUCACGGGGGAGAAGGUAGCUGUCGGGCAUUCCCCUGGCGCUGAAGGGCAGAUUGCUUUUGAAAGCUCUAAAUUUAUUCAGCUUAUACUGAAAGGAAAUGAAGUCUAUGUCCAAAUAGGAACCAAUGUGGUUCCUGCUGUGCUGUGCCUUCAUUACCUGAGACUACAGCAGCCUGCAUUCUCCACCGGGCUCGGAGGAGUGCAGAUGCCUGAGCUAUGCAGUGUGAUUCAACAAUUCCAGUUGGACGGAAAAUACAGCUGUCUUUUUCACGGAGUUGAAGUCAAAUCUACGUGCAGCUUUUUUUACCUACAAAUAAUGGACAAGCUCCUGAAUCCAACAUAUUCUAGCUGAAACGGAUCCCAGGACGGAAUGCUGGAGAGAUGCGUAUUCCAGCUACAGGCCCUUAGAGCUCAGUGGUCAGUAAAC